rnacentral:rRNA from 1 species
GACGAACGCUGGCGGUGUGCUUCACACAUGCAAGUCGAACGAGGUAGCAAUACCUAGUGGCGGACGGGUGAGUAACGCGUGGGAAUCUGCCUUUAGAUGGGGGAUAACGGGUCGAAAGACUCGCUAAUACCGCAUAUGACGAAAGUUGAAAGGAGUAAUCCGUCUAAAGGAUGAGCCCGCGUCCGAUUAGCUAGUUGGUAGAGUAAAAGCCUACCAAGGCGACGAUCGGUAGCUGGUCUGAGAGGAUGAUCAGCCACAAUGGGAACUAGAGACACGGCCCAUACU